rnacentral:rRNA from 1 species
AGUGAGGAAUAUUGCACAAUGGGGGCAACCCUGAUGCAGCAACGCCGCGUGGAGGAUGACGCAUUUCGGUGUGUAAACUCCUUUUAUAUGUCAAGAAAAUGACGGUAGCAUAUGAAUAAGCACCGGCUAACUCCGUGCCAGCAGCCGCGGUAAUACGGAGGGUGCAAGCGUUAUUCGGAAUCACUGGGCGUAAAGGACGCGUAGGCGGGUUGGUAAGUCAGAUGUGAAAUCCUACAGCUUAACUGUAGAACUGCAUUUGAAACUACUAACCUAGAGUAUGGGAGGGGGAGAUGGAAUUAGUGGUGUAGGGGUAAAAUCCGUAGAUAUCACUAGGAAUACCGAAAGCGAAGGCGAUCUCCUGGAACAUAACUGACGCUAAGGCGUGAAAGCGUGGGGAGCAAACAGGAUUAGAUACCCUGGUAGUCCACGCCCUAAACGAUGAACACUAGUCGUCGGGAUGCUAGUCAUCUCGGUGAUGCACUUAACAGAUUAAGUGUUCCGCCUGGGGAGUACGGUCGCAAGAUUAAAACUCAAAGGAAUAGACGGGGACCCGCACAAGUGGUGGAGCAUGUGGUUUAAUUCGAAGAUACGCGAAGAACCUUACCUAGCCUUGACAUUGAAGAAAUAGACCAGAGAUGGACUAGUGCCCUUCGGGGAAUCUGAAAACAGGUGCUGCACGGCUGUCGUCAGCUCGUGUCGUGAGAUGUUGGGUUAAGUCCCGCAACGAGCGCAACCCUCGUCCUUAGUUGCUAGCAGUUCGGCUGAGCACUCUAAGGAGACUGCCUUCGCAAGGAGGAGGAAGGUGAGGACGACGUCAAGUCAUCAUGGCCCUUAUGGCUAGGGCUACACACGUGCUACAAUGGGGCGUACAGAGUGUUGCGAUACCGCGAGGUGGAGCUAAUCACUUAAAGCGUCUCUCAGUUCGGAUUGGAGUCUGCAACUCGACUCCAUGAAGCUGGAAUCACUAGUAAUCGUAGAUCAGCAAUGCUACGGUGAAUACGU